AGCAGCCGCCACGGUAAUACGUAGGGUGCAAGCGUUAAUCGGAAUUACUGGGCGUAAAGCGUGCGCAGGCGGUUAUAUAAGACAGAUGUGAAAUCCCCGGGCUCAACCUGGGAACUGCAUUUGUGACUGUAUAGCUAGAGUACGGCAGAGGGGGAUGGAAUUCCGCGUGUAGCAGUGAAAUGCGUAGAUAUGCGGAGGAACACCGAUGGCGAAGGCAAUCCCCUGGGCCUGUACUGACGCUCAUGCACGAAAGCGUGGGGAGCAAACAGGAUUAGAGACCCGUGUAGUCCCUGUCUCUUAUAC
rnacentral:rRNA from 1 species